CAGUCGCCGCGGGAAUACGUAGGUCCCGAGCGUUGUCCGGAUUUAUUGGGCGUAAAGCGAGCGCAGGCGGUUAGAUAAGUCUGAAGUUAAAGGCUGUGGCUUAACCAUAGUACGCUUUGGAAACUGUUUAACUUGAGUGCAAGAGGGGAGAGUGGAAUUCCAUGUGUAGCGGUGAAAUGCGUAGAUAUAUGGAGGAACACCGGUGGCGAAAGCGGCUCUCUGGCUUGUAACUGACGCUGAGGCUCGAAAGCGAGGGGAGCAGACAGGAUUAGAUACCCCAGUAGUCCCUGUCUCUUAUACA
rnacentral:rRNA from 1 species